rnacentral:rRNA from 1 species
GACGUAGGGGGCGAGCGUUGUCCGGAUUCAUUGGGCGUAAAGAGCGUGUAGGUGGCUUUACAGGUCCGUUGUGAAAACUCGAGGCUCAACCUCGAGACGCCGGUGGAAACCGUAAGGCUAGAGUCCGGAAGAGGAGAGUGGAAUUCCUGGUGUAGCGGUGAAAUGCGCAGAUAUCAGGAAGAACACCCGUGGCGAAGGCGGCUCACUGGACCGGUACUGACGCUGAUGCGCGAAAGCGUGGGGAGCAAACAGG